rnacentral:misc_RNA from 1 species
UUGAAUAUUCUUGAUGGGUUGUAGCUGGCUCUUCGGGGCAUGUGCACGCCUGUCUUGACUUUAUUCAUCCACCUGUGCACCUUUUGUAGUCUUGGGGGUUGAGAGCAGUCAAUAAUCGGAUGACCAUUUGGUCACUCCGGGUGUGAGGAAUGCUGAGUGCGAAAGCAUACAGCUCUUCUCAAAGUGACUUGUAAUCCUCUCCUUCAAGUACUAUGUAUUCAUAUACCCAUAGUAUGUUGUAGAAUGUGAUCAAUGGGCCUAAGUGCCUAUAACAAUCAUAUA